CCAAUAGCGUAUAUUAAAGUUGUUGCAGUUAAAAAGCUCGUAGUUGAAUUUCGGGGUCAGUAGGCUGGUCGUGCCACAGGUACGUACUGGUCUCACUGAUUCCUCCUUCCUGAUGAACCGUAAUGCCAUUAAUUUGGUGUUGCGGGGAAACUGGACUGUUACUUUGAAAAAAUUAGAGUGUUUAAAGCAGGCUAACGCUUGAAUACAUUAGCAUGGAAUAAUGAAAUAGGACGUUCGAUCCUAUUUUGUUGGUUUCUAGGAUUGACGUAAUGAUUAAUAGGGAUAGUUGGGGGCAUUAGUAUUCAAUUGUCAGAGGUGAAAUUCUUGGAUUUAUUGAAGACUAACUACUGCGAAAGCAUUUGCCAAGGAUGUUUUCAUUAAUCAAGAACGAAAGUUAGGGGAUCGAAGACGAUCAGAUACCGUCGUAGUCUUAACCAUAAACUAUGCCGACUAGGGAUCGGAUGAUGUUAAUUUUUUAAUGACUCAUUCGGCGCCUUACG
rnacentral:rRNA from 1 species